rnacentral:rRNA from 1 species
CCUACGGGAGGCAGCAGUGGGGAAUAUUGCACAAUGGAGGAAACCCUGAUGCAGCGACGCCGCGUGAGUGAAGAAGUCCUUCGGUAUGUAAAACUCUAUCAGCAGGGAAGAAAAUGACGGUACCUGAGUAAGACUCCCCGUCUAACUACGUUCCAGCAGCCGCGGUAAUACGUAGGGGGCAAGCGUUAUCCGGAUUUACUGGGUGUAAAGGGAGCGUAGACGGCAGUGUAAGUCUGGAGUGAAAGGCGGGGGCUCAACCCCCGGACUGCUCUGGAAACUGUAAGGCUGGAGUGCAGGAGAGGUAAGUGGAAUUCCUAGUGUAGCGGUGAAAUGCGUAGAUAUUAGGAGGAACACCAGUGGCGAAGGCGGCUUACUGGACUGUAACUGACGUUGAGGCUCGAAAGCGUGGGGAGCAAACAGGAUUAGAUACCCCUGUAGUC